GCAAUUCAAGAUUAAGCCUUUGAUUGAUUUUUCUUUAAUUUCGCGAAGCCAUUUUUGAAAGUUUUCUCUGCUCGAGUCUCGUUUUCUGAGUUAUCUGCGUGAUUUCAAGUCACCUCUGAACGCAACCCAGCAGGCCCAGGUCAUCCUCUGUGCCAGAGUUUUUAAGUGAGACCAAAGAAGUACCCAAACGAGCAUCCACAGGAUCCACAGGCGCUGGCUUUGCUUCGGGCCCGAGUGCUGCAACUCCUGGCUCAUCCUUCGGCUGACUUCAGUCGUCUUCUGAGCUGAACCGCUCGAACCGCCAGUAGCCCCGGACCUUCGGAACCUGCUCCAUCUUCUCCAAGGACCAGUCUCACUUAAGUAUGCAAACCUCCAGAGCUCCAGACAGGGCUGAUGCUGUCUCACGCGUUCAUAACUCAGAUAUCCACCUAUUUCUGGUGAUCUUAGAUUCCUCCAAAUCUACACCCGAGUUUAUCUCGACACCAAAGUUAGUGUAGGUUAAUAUGUUAGCGCAUAUUCACUCACUAUCAUUAACUUUAGUGCUCCUAGCCUGACUCAGAAUCUUUAUUUAUUCACCUAUUAUUAUUUUAUCCUCAUUAUCUUAUCAUCAUUUAUUGCAUGUGUGUUGUACCAUCAUUUAUCCUGUAAUAAACAGAUCAUUAUUUUUCUAAGUUCCUGUCUGUUAGUGUUCUUCCAGAAGUGGAGUCCCUGAAAUUAGAAUUUCGACUUAAGAUAUGAGACUGAUUAAUUAAGACUGAUUAAUUAAGGCUGAUUAAUUAAGACUGAUUAAUUAAAACUGACUUGAUGUUUGAUUUCUGAAUUAAACUUUUGUUUUCUUUAUUUUCCCACCAUUAAGGGUGGGUGGUGCCCCUUUCAACGAGUGCAUAAAUGUCAUAAUUUGAGAUUAUUAAUCUUCAGACAUUUAUUAUAAAUUCCAAUCGCCAAGUAUUAUUUUGGUGCGGCCUUGUGAGGCUCAUUUCAAAUCGCUACAUAUAUUUUGGUGCGACCGUGUGAGGCUCAUUUCAAAUCACUACAUAUAUUUUGGUGCCCCUGCGUGAGGCGUUUCAAACAAAACUUCUGGAUACUAACAGACAACCUAAAACUUAGCCUUCCAAAUUGAUGAGAGAAACUUAUUCCCAGGCUAUCCUAGACUUAAUCACAAUAAAUGCUAUGCUUGCUGAAGUUGCUUGACUAAGUUCUGAUGUUUUCCUGAUCUAUGCAUAAAACCUUUAUGCUCUGUGUUUCACACACUUUUGUACUACAUGCCUGUAGUCUGUGUUUGAGCUGGACAGCGUGAAAUGUUGUUCUGAGUAGCAGUGAGACUGCUUCUUCUGCUCUGUCUAGACUGUCCAAUAUUUAAGUGCACGAUUGUUGCGUCGCCGUACGCUUGUAUUUAAGGCCUUUGGCUGAACCCAGUGUUCGCGAUGCUCCGAGCUGUGGUUUCAAGCCCCUGAAGUCUCUGUAGUCUGCUACGAGGUUCUAGUAACUAUAUGGGAUUCAGAUUUCCUCCUUUCCCCUGACAGAUUAGCUACCUGUCACAGGAAACCACUGUAACAGUGGGAGGUUGUUGUUUGAUUGAAUUCAGACAAAAUGUGUGUUCACAAAUCGCCGCAUUUGUGAUUUUAAAGUCUGCAGUUGAAUCUGCUGUUGAGGGAUUUGUCACUUUGAUUCUUGUCUCUAUAGUCUGCUACGAAGUUCUAGUAACUAUAUGGGAUUCAGAUUUCCUCCUUUCCCCUGACAGAUUAACUACCUGUCACAGGAAACCACUGUAACAGUGGGAGGUUGUUGUUUGAUUGAAUUAAGACAAAAUUUGUGAUCACAAAUCGCCGCAUUUGUGAUUUUAAAGUCUGCAGUUGAAUCUGCUGUUUAAGAAUUUGUCACUUUGAUUCUUGUUCCUGUAAAUGAUUUUAUUGAACCAAUCUGCCUGAGCAGAUGGUGUAAAGUUCUAUGUUUGAGGGUGCAGACACAGCUGCUGUGAAAUGUUAACCCUUUGUUGUCAGUGGAGAGAUUGACCAUUUGGCCUUAAGUAGAUAAGGCCCUUCAAGGAGGCAGAGCCUAAAGGCCCCUUCCUGCACACUUCCCAACUCCUCACAGCCACAAGAGGCUAGUUGGAUGACUGUUUCCUCUUUUCUUCUUCUUCUCCACUUGUGUUGAGCUUGUGCAGUUACCCCAACUCCAUACUGCCCCACAUGGUUGCUUUUGGUAUUGAGCUAACAAUGUUAUCUGCCUGCAGUAUCAGCCAGCUGUACUGCCUCCCUGUAGUCAGUGUGUAACACUCUACAGACAUAACUCAAGUGAUUGACUUGGUUGAUGAAGUUUGAUGUGCUUAUUCUAAAUCAUUGAUCAUUGAUUUUGAUUUUUAUCUUUGUUAUAAGAGCCUCCAUGAUGUAUUGAUAAAGUAACUCAUUGAAUCAAUCACCUGAUCUUGUUGUUACUUAUCACACCAGUGAGCAGUUUUACUGUUCCCUAUAAUACAUGAAUGUAUUAACCCUCCUCAUAAGAUUAAUUAAUUAAUGAACAAAUUAAUUAAUAUUUGAAAUUUAUUUUACCAUUUCAGAUGAAUUGGGUAGUUGAAUCUUUAGCUUUAUUGCGAUUGGUGAAUUAAUUUCAGAGUUAAUUCCUUAAAUUGACAAUUUCAUCGAUUUUUCCCAAUUCAUCCAACUGCACCAGGCAGUUCAUUUAAGCUUUGCUGAUCUCUGCAACACGGAGACAAAUUGAACCCUUUAUUCAAUGGUUCUGUAUCUGAUGUUAAAUUUAAUUUAACAUUAUUUCACCUUGUUUUUCUUUCAAUUUUCAUUGAAAUGAAGUUAACUUUAUGUUAUUUUUCUCUCCAUUAGAUAUCUACUCAGAUAGGCUCUUCCUCUUUAUCAAGCACUGAUAAAUUAAGUCGAUUAACCCACUUAAUUUGAUAUUGUGCUUCUUCCUUUCAUUUUAAGUCAACUCAAACUCAUCAACCAACCAGCUGCACCUCUUUACCAAAACCAAACAUGCCUAACACAAAAGAGUCCAGCCAGGGAGACCCCCUGAGGGACAUACCCACAGUGUUAGCAAACUUAAUGAGUCAGCUGAUACCUCAGUACAUGACUAAGAUUCAAAAGGCCAAACCCUCCAAUCCGGAGGAUGAAAUGGCUGACUUACUGGAAACAGCCUUAACCACGAUACUUCGUGACAAAGAGCUCACUAGAUGCAUGUCUGUCAUGAUGUCUUCUCAGCUUGAGUAUAAAGACUACUUGCUGGAAUGCGCUUUAGCAAAGAUAAAGGCGCAAAAAGACGAAAACAGCGCUCUGAAAAAGACGCUAGAAGAGACUAAGAAGUCUCUAAGUGUUUUAGGAAAACACAGUGUCAGAUGUGAAGCGUCAAAGCUUCCCUCACUGAUAAGUCAUGAAGAAAAUCUUGAUCUUAAAGACAAGAUUGAAGGACUUAAUGAAACCCUUUACAAAAAGGAGAAAGAACUUGAUGACACGAAUAAGCAGCUUGCUAAGACCACAGAGGAUCUGAUACAGUCAGAAUCCCUACUAGAGCAAGCAACAGAAGAUGCAAAAACUUUGAAAGCACUGGUCAAAGUGCGUGCUGAAGCUCUUGAAGUUAAGGAGAAGCAAACUUCUACCUUACAGCACCAGCUCCAGAUAGCUCAAAGACAGUUAAUUCUUUGUCAAGAACGGCAAGAAAAGACAGAUAAAGAACUUGAAGAUGCCCAAAGAGAGUUACGAUGCUCCCUCCAGUCAGGUCGAGCCCAAAGAGAACGCAUGAAGCAAACUUUUCUCGAAGAAAUGAUAUAUGAUCAGCCUCCUGAGAGAGCGCCAUCACUUCCUUCCAAACCAACUCUUAAGUAUCUCUCUCAGCAUCAUGACAGGACCCUGCUUGACCCUGAGAGGUCAUCCUUAAGCCAAAAGUCCUACUCUCCUCCUCAUGAUGGUUUCUUACCAUUUCCCUCAGAUAGGGAUCUUGACAAAAUUGCUCGCAACAUAGCACGCUUUGAACCUGAGCACCAAGGUGCUACUGACACCUGCACCUACUUGAAAGACAUUGACUUUUACCUGAGGAAAUUUCCAGGUGCAACCAUUGAUGACAAGAUCUACCUUAUUAAGGCAACGUCAAGUCGAGAGGUUAGCAGUUUCCUUGAACGACAGCCUUAUCAUGUCAGAAAUAAUUAUGACUUGCUCUGCCAAGCAUUAAUUGAAGAGUUUUCUGAUCAUUUGACCCAGACAGGCCUUUCUGCUGCUCUGUCUAUUAAACAAGGGAGAUCAGAACCUCCCCAACAUUAUUACAACCGCUUACGCGAAGCUUACUUUGGUUUCCGAAAUGAACCAGAAAUGGAGGAGGACUUGAACUUCAAAACGCUGUUCGUCCAGAACCUCCACCCUACCACCAGUCAUCACCUUGGCGUCUUAGCUUGUCCAAACACUUUGACUAGCCGACAGCUUCGUGAACUUGCUGUAAAAGGUUUUGCCAAACAACGACAAACUUUGGCUAAGAAAGCAGAGCCUGUUACUCUGUUGGCUAUGGAGACAAAAUCACUGCCCAUGGAGCUGAACGAAGCUUCAGAUUGUGUAUUUUCAGGCUCCGAUAAGCCUCCAAAUGAGUGGUUAACCAGGCCUCCAAAACCUUUUCGACCUCAACAAACUCACAAAGGUCAAAGUUACAUACCAAGGCCCAGGUCUGACACAGACCAAUGCCAGGUAAACUUUGAGACCAACUGUUGUUAUUCAGACUCCAGUCAUGGUGGGUUUUAUCCCAGACAAAGGAAAAACCAUCAACACCGCCAAAGGGGGGUGAAUGACUGGCAGAAUCAGAGUAAAUUACACUCUCAGAAACAACGAUCUUAUUAUCCACCUCAAUCGGUUUCAUCCACUUUGAAGGUGAAUAAACAUGACUACUCAGUUAACCACUGAGAUUAACACUGUGGAGUCAUGAAGGUGUGAGUCCUGCGAAAGCAGAAGUCACCUAGCCAAAGCUAAAUGACUCCAAUAAGAUAUCCAAAUGCUGUGGUGAUACAUUGAUGACUGCAAUACCAGUUGCUGCUUUCUUUGUUAGGGCCCGAGCGUAGCUGCUAAGCAGCUGCGAGAGCCCUAUUAUUCCCCAAGUGGUUUUUCUUUGUUUCUUUUUUCUUUUUCCUCCCCUUUGAACUGGAAAAUGGCCCACUUCCCACUGGCGAAAACUCAUGAAAUUUGGCAGGACGACCGGGCCUGGUGAAAAAUUUGAUAUUCCGAAGUCGCCCAAACAAGAAAAUGCAAAAUGGCUCCAUAGCGCCCCCUAAGGUGAAAAUUCACACUAUUGACUGUCACGCCUGUACGCUUUGUCAAAAUGACACAAAAAUUGACACACACAUGUAUCUCAAUAAGAUCUACAAAAAAGUCAGUGCGGGCGUAUCUGUCAAAUGUACGGUUAAAGGGCUAUUUCGCAUUUUUUGCCGAUCCGCACACAUUGGAAUUUCGCUAACUCCUCCGAAGGCUUUCGUUCCACCGGCACCACAUUUGCUCAGGCCAAUCUACACCCCAUGGCCAUUAAAAGUUAUUCAAAUCAUGACGCUGCACCCCACGGUUUAGGUUCUAGGGGGCGCCAAAGAUAACCCUAAAAUCCACAUAUUUAAAAGUCUUAUAACUUUUUAUUUUUGCCCUCACUGGCCUCCAAGUUUUCUAGGAUGAUGCAAUGUCCAGCCAUCAACACAUUUGUGAAGGAAUUUUUACUCCCCAAAAGAGCGCCCCCCCAUGGCAGGAGAAAAAAGUCCAUUUUUUCUUGUCCCCUAAGGUGAAAAUUCACACUAUUGACUGUCACGCCUGUACGCUUUGUCAAAAUGACACAAAAAUUGACACACACAUGUAUCUCAAUAAGAUCUACAAAAAAGUCCAUGCGCGCGUAUCUGUCUAAUGUACGGUUAAAGGGUUAUUUCGCAUUUUUUGCCGAUCCGCACACAUUGGAAUUUCGCUAACUCCUCCGAAGGCUUUCGUUCCACCGGCACCACAUUUGCUCAGGCCAAUCUACACCCCAUGGCCAUUAAAAGUUAUUCAAAUCAUGACGCUGCACCCCACGGUUUAGGUUCUAGGGGGCGCCAAAGAUAACCCAAAAAUCCACAUUUUUAAAAGUCUUAUAACUUUUUAUUUUUGUCCUCACUGGCCUCCAAGUUUUCUAGGAUGAUGCAAUGUCCAGCCAUCAACACAUUUGUGAAGGAAUUUUUACUCCCUAAAAGAGCGCCCCCCCAUGGCAGGAGAAAAAAGUCCAUUUUUUCUUGUCCCCUAAGGUGAAAAUACACAUUGUUGACUGUCACGCCUAUACGCUUUGGCAAAAUGACACAAAAAUUGACAAUCAUGUGUAUCUCAAUUAGAUCUACGAAAAAGUCAAAGAGCGCGUAUCUGUAUAAUGUACGGUAAAAGGGCUAUUUUGCAUUUUUUGCUGAUUCGCACACAUUGGAAUUUCGCUAACUCCUCCUAAGGCUUUCGUCCCACUGACACCAAAUUUGCUCAGGCCAAUCUACACUCCAUGGCCAUUCAAAGUUGUAAAAAUCAUGACGCUGCACCCCACGGUUUACGUUUUAGGGGGCGCCAAAGAUGACCCAAAUAUACAUUACAGUAGACAAAGUAGUUUUGCCCACUGAGUGGCGCCAAAGGGACUUGUCUGUGGAGUCUGUGAGUCACUAUUGGCAGUUUUUGACUACUUUAGAUUUUACCUUUAUAUUUCCUCUUACAAAAUUUUUACCUUGCCUUGCCUGGUAUCAUUUUUUUCAGCACAACCUCACCUGUGUCAAUUUACAGUUAUUUUAUCAUUUUGACAUACUAUAUUUACACAUUGGACCCAAAUUCACACACAAAACAUAAAAUCCGAGUGGAAAAAAGUAACGUUUUUACUGUGAAAACCACAAAUAUGUGUGAUGAACUGUUUUUAAAACUUAAACUUCAAAUAAAAAUUGUAAACUUCAAAACAUAUGCAAAUUUUUAACAAAGAACAUAGUAAUUUACCUCUAUUUACAUCAAAAUGCAGGCAAUGGCCCAGGUGUUCUUUGUAAAAUUAUUUACAAAACACUGUAUAGUCUCACAAAUGUCACUUUUUAUUUAUGCCACUACAAAAAAACAUGAUGUAAAUGAUGCAUGAUGUAAAACAUGAUGUAAAAAACUUGUGUAGAUCCUCCUCUAUGUUAGUCCAUGUGUAAUUUUUCCAUAAUUCUUUGUUUUUUGCAGCAUUUUUGUUAGUGUAACUGCAGAUUGUGCUGACAGUGUCUAUGGCAAAAAAAAAAAAAAAAAAACUGAAAAUGCCUCAACAUGAACCCCUGGUGGUCUCUGAGGGUGAAACCUGCUAACUGCUGCAGCUCUGUCAGCUUCAGUCUCCCAUGCAGAGCUCGGAGCGCAUGUGUGGCUCUGCACCCUUAGCAGCGUUGCUAACUCCUCAGUAAGGAAAGCCUGCUUCAUGUCAGAGUCUCUAAACUCCAGAAGAAGUCGAUAAAAGUCACUUUCUUUCUAAAAAAAAGUCGUUAGGGGGUCUGAAAAGUCAUUGAAUCUAACAACAAAGUCGCUAGGUUUGCAACUACGUGUCCCAGACUGCAUCCC